UCAUUAUUAGGAUUAUUGUCUUUAUUAUUAUUAUUUGGUGUGUCGUCUGCACUGCCUCUGAUCUCUGUCCUCAUCUGUAUAUAGGUAGGUUUGUGUGUGUUUGUGUGUUGCUGUUUCUGUGGCCAAGUUACAGGCAUCUUCAGGCCUGAGGGGUGUGGUCUGGCUUGAGGACUGGCCACACCCGAAGUCCUUGCCACACACCUGCUCCUCAUCUGGGCUCGUCGGGGGAGCUAUUUAGAGGAGUGAUGGAGCUUCCACCGACGCUGGAUUAUUGCGUUUGACUACAUGAGGAGUGUGGGACGAGAAGGAGCAGUGAGCACGGGGAGUGCAGUCCAGAAAACCAUCACAGCUGAGUCUGGAGACAGAGUCACUCUGCCAUGUCGAGCUCCAAACAACAGACACAUCACAGUUGUAGACUGGAGGAGAUCUGGCCUGACAGAUAAAUCUGUCCUUCUCUACCGGGACAAUAAAUAUGAUCCAGAUGAGCAGGAUCCAUCUUUUAAGAACCGGGUGGCUCUGCAGGAUGUGAAGGAUGGAGACGUGUCUCUGAUUCUGAAGAAUGUGACAACUCAUGAUACUGGAAUAUAUGAGUGUCGUGUUGACCAACAGACAGAAUCACACCGCAGGAAGAGAGCUGUUGACCCCAUCAGCAGCACCUACCUGAGAGUGGGUCAGACAGGAGGAGACACAGAGGAUGGAGGGAAGGAGGAUGGAUCUGUUAGACCGAGAGUGGGUGUGUCUGUUUGUGCUGUGCUUCUUGUUGCUGUUGUUGGUUUUCUGAUCUACAGAAAACAUAACCAACAACAGAAUCAGGACCCAUACCAGCCUCCUGCUGAACAGCAGCAGCUCUGAUUUGUUUCCAAGCUAUCCACAGUAUAACUGUGAGUCUCCUGCUGCUGUUUCAAACUCUCAGUGCUCUCAUUAAAUUCAGGGAAAGACAGACAAUCUGAAUUUGUUCUUUUAUGUCUUCACAAACACAAUGACUUGUACCACAUUAACUGAUAUCACAUUUGUUAAACAUUGUUUUACUUUCAGUGUUUCUGUUUGUUCUGUCACACUAAACCAAGUCUCGAGCUUUCGGCUCCAUCAGACCAUAAAAUACUAAAUUGAACAGAGGACAGACAGCACACAGGAGGACACUCCACAAAGACACAAGGAUAAUGGAUCUUUGAAGGACACAAUGAGUCAAUCCACUGUUGGAUCCACUGCUUAGUGUGUGAGAACAAACAAAAACCUCAAAGUAAACAUCAUAUGAUAUCAGUUAAAAUAUAAAGAAAAAUAUAUUUUUUUGCUUUAAAAGUUACUAAUUCAUGCCAGGUUUAAUCUUGUGUUAUCUGAAACCAGCAAAAGUCAGAUGGUCGUUUAAAGUUUUCUCUGCCCAACACAUUUGUCCCCACUUUGGUGAGGUUGACACAGCAGCAGGUCACAUGCACUCACAGCAGUGGAUUCAGACUGACAGUAUUCUGCUUACUAAACCUGAUCCAUAAUAUUCAGAUAUUCUGCUUCCUUUUACAAACCACAUACGUGUCCAUGUCCUGUUCAUAUUACUUAGUGUCUUUAACCAGAAACAUAGUUUUUCCUUGAUUGUUUUUAAAUGAGUCAAAACAGUGAAACCAGGUGACCAUGUAAAGGAUUACAAGGUAAUCCUUUACAUGUUUAAAUGCAUCAGAAACUAAUUAAAAGUACUAUUAAUAAUAACAGUAAUGGUAAAACAUCAACUAAAUUAAUUAAAGAUUAAUAAA